UACGUAGGGUCCGAGCGUUGUCCGGAAUUACUGGGCGUAAAGAGCUCGUAGGUGGUUUGUUGCGUCGGCUGUGAAAUCCCGAGGCUCAACCUCGGGUCUGCAGUCGAUACGAGCAAACUAGAGUGUUGCAGGGGAGACUGGAAUUCCUGGUGUAGCGGUGAAAUGCGCAGAUAUCAGGAGGAACACCGGUGGCGAAGGCGGGUCUCUGGGCAACAACUGACGCUGAGGAGCGAAAGCGUGGGGAGCGAACAGG
rnacentral:rRNA from 1 species